rnacentral:rRNA from 1 species
UACGUAGGGUGCGAGCGUUAAUCGGAAUUACUGGGCGUAAAGCGUGCGCAGGCGGUUUUGUAAGCCAGAUGUGAAAUCCCCGGGCUUAACCUGGGAAUGGCAUUUGGGACUGCAAGGCUUGAGUGCGGCAGAGGAGACUGGAAUUCCUGGUGUAGCGUGAAAUGCGUAGAUAUGAGGAGGAACACCGAUGGCGAAGGGCAGGCCC